rnacentral:rRNA from 1 species
GGGCGACUGAAAGGGGAUGAUCCCAGCGCAUAACCUUCCGGUGAGUGCUUUGCCGUGGAGGGGUGUUGCGUUUCGGUGGAUCCGUACCGCUCGACUUGCUGACCGCCUAAGUCAUUGCUUGAAUGCAGCCCCGAGGAGGGUGGUAGGCCCGUGUGGCGGCGCCUGUAAAAAGGUUGGAGGCAAGUUGGGCGGAGGGGUCUUUACCGUAGAGUCGGGUUGCUUAGUACUGCAGCCCUAAGUAGGUGGUAAACUCCAUCUAAGGCUAAAUACGAGCACGAGUCCGAUAUUUGACAAGUACCGUGAGGGAAAGCUGAAAAGGACUCUGAAGAGAGAGUUCAAGAGGACGUGAAACCAUUAGAAGCUGAAACGGGUGGAACCGUGAAGGAUGAAAGAGGGGAUUCAGACUGUGGGUGCGCCUAGCCCUGGCGGUUUUUGUGUCGCGAGAGGACCGUUGAUUGUGUGAGGAGAGGUGGCGACUGUCGGGGCUGUGGCGUGCCGGCGGUCUUAGUUGUACCUCGAGUAAGAGUGGUGGCGACCCGCUGGCCGGACCCCCGUGACCCUUGCGGACUGGUAGCCCGUACCUCGUGUGCGGGUGAUGACCGCCGAGGGACGCUUUGCGGGUUUGGCCGGCGGUGACUGCAAGGAGGCAG